GCACCUAUAGUUCAGUUGGAUAGAGCGUUGGACUUCGAAUCCAGAAGCCGCGAGUUCGAAUCUUGCUAGGUGCACCA
rnacentral:tRNA from 1 species